rnacentral:tRNA from 1 species
CAGUAAGUAUUUUAAUAAAUAAAAUAUUAGUUUUGGAUACUAAAGAUGAUUUUUUCUUUACUGA